rnacentral:rRNA from 2 species
CGACUCUCGGCAACGGAUAUCUCGGCUCACGCAUCGAUGAAGAACGUAGCAAAAUGCGAUACUUGGUGUGAAUUGCAGAAUCCCGUGAACCAUCGAGUUUUUGAACGCAAGUUGCGCCCGAAGCCAUUCGGCUGAGGGCACGUCUGCCUGGGCGUCACGC